rnacentral:rRNA from 1 species
UACGAAGGGGGCUAGCGUUGCUCGGAAUCACUGGGCGUAAAGCGCACGUAGGCGGAUCCUUAAGUCAGGGGUGAAAUCCUGGAGCUCAACUCCAGAACUGCCUUUGAUACUGGGGAUCUCGAGUCCGGAAGAGGUGAGUGGAACUCCGAGUGUAGAGGUGAAAUUCGUAGAUAUUCGGAAGAACACCAGUGGCGAAGGCGGCUCACUGGUCCGGUACUGACGCUGAGGUGCGAAAGCGUGGGGAGCAAACAGG